GGUUGUGCUCCUGGGGUGGUUGGAAGCGGCCGGUGGGCCGGCGUAUGGCGGCCAGGCCUGGGAAGCCACGAGGCUGCCUGGCGCCGUGGGGUCACUCUUCCUGAAGCCACAAGUCACCAAGGCUGGAAGGGAAGGUCGGGGGCUGCCAGGGGCCAACCUUAGGUAUCGCUGGUGGCGGUGGGCAAACCCACCCGACCGAGGGGACCGCCGCUGAGGACAGGCGAGGAGGAAGAAAAUGUCUGGGGCCUGGCGGUAGAGAGACAGGCCCCGAGGAGAGACAGGGCUCGCUGCCCCGAUGCAGAGGAGCAGUCCCAGACGGCUAAGGAGUUGAGGCCCCAGGGAUGCUGCGCCCUGCCGAGCUAGAAGGGAUUGGCCACCAGAGUCUGAAAACCCCAGAUCACUUAUGUGAAGGGGUUCAAAGCUGAAACCGUGACGGAACAGAGUGGGAUGAGACACCUCAGAAGUGCGGCCAGAUGUUUGAGGAACUGGCUGACACGGGAGGCAGCUGGUGUGCCCAGCCCCAGGGACCCGAGGAGUCCGGUGCGAGCCCUCCCUGCUCGCCUUGCGCCCGUAUCCCAGAGGCCAGCCGGGGACCAUGGCUCCCUUGUCUCUGCUGUUUCCUCUGAGUUCCCGGUAGCUGCCCGCGGGGCUUCUCAGGAAGCGCGGUCCGGUCUGGGCCUCCGCCCCGGCCGAGCUGGUGAGCUCCCCCGACCCCCGCCGCCAGUCCUCUGCUCUGAUCACAGGCCGCGCUUCUCCUGCAUGGCGCUCACCAUCUCCGGGAACGUACUGGCCGGACGCCCGGCUUCCCCUGCGGCCGGAACCCCGGAGAGCGGGGCCUGCCCUUCGCACACACUCAGCACAGCCCAGGCAGUGAGGGCGCAGAGUUGCCGGCUGGAUGGACGGAUGGACGGACCAUCCGGAAGGAUUCGGACCGUUGGGACAUGAAAAAGGCAGCUGAGGGGCUCUCGCAGGUACGGAGUGGCCUCGUGACAGUGCACAGCCCGCCCGGGGACGGGCGGCGUCCUCGAGUCUACCGAGAGCCGCUGCAAAGCGGAAGCUUCCUCCUUCCUGUCAGAGAAACGCGUUUCCCAAACACAUUCUCCUGCGAAGCUGGCGAACCCGUCCCAUCAUAGCAGCCUCAUGCAGAGGGGGUGCGGAAUUCUCUGGGCUUGAGGACACCCCUGAGCUCGUCUGUGGACCUCGGCAGGGUCUGGUCUGGCUCGACAGGCAGGGGGAGGGGGACCGAGGGGCCUCUGGUGCCCGGCUCUGCCGGGAAGGUGCCAGGUCUGCAGUGGCUUUGUGCUGGGCGGGUCGUCCUAGUUCUGCCAGCCAGGCCUGGGUGGCCCCUGCAGGCAGGGCACCAGGCAGAAAAGGGCCUGGCGAGUGAGACGAGGCCAAGGGCACCGAGAGGCCGAGAGAGGACAAGGAAGAACGGGGCAUUGGCUACCAGACAGCACGUGUCCAUGGCUUUGGAGACCAUGUUGGGGGUGGGGUGGGGGAGAUAAUGGGCCUCCUGGUCCAGUUCUGUGGCCAGGCACCCCUAGCCCUCUCUGCUUCCGAGCGCGCCCCACCCCGGCAGUUGUAAUGCCAAGCGCCACCCACUGCUCUCGCCCGGAGCCUUUCCCCCGUCUCCGGAAAACAACGGGACUAUCCUGGCCAAGACCAACCUUCCUGCUUGUGGCUUCUGCCUGCCCUGGCCUCCUCCUCACCACCCGUUUACCCAUGGGCACACUCCCUUCCACGAGGCGUUUCCUCCAGUGGGAGAGCAAGGUAGCGUGUUAGAAAGUGCUGGGUUCUGUGCACUUGCUCUCGCACUUGGGCGGAGCAGGAGGAGGAGUGGAGGGGAACCAGAAGACAGGCUGCAGAUUUAAACAGGGGCCCCCAGGCUCCUUCCCGUCUGGAUCUGGGGCCCGGGCUUCUCCACCUUCGGCACUGCUGCUGUUUGGGGCUGGACCGCUGUCCUGCGUGCUGGGGGUACCUGGCAGCGUGCCCUGGCCUCUACCCCCGGAGGUCGGCAACCACCCUCUGCCUGUGGUAACAACCAAAGAUGUCUCCAGAUACUACCUGGCAUCCUUUUGCGGGGGAAUCCAGGCGCCACUGGAAGACUACGUUAGCUUACACAGGUUUUACCUUGACUUCAUGAGAAGAAAUGAAAGACAAAAAGAUUUCACACAUCACCUGACCUGGACUUCAUCCUGCUGCCCCAGGGUAGCUGGGAUGUAAAGAGAGCCUCUGCCCUUGCGUGGGUCCCGAUGAUCGAGGCUAUUGAACCUGGAGGCUGAUCGACAUGGCAGGAAGAGCUGUAGGUCAGUGUGCAUUGUGGGCACCCGAGCACAGACAGAUCUCUGAGCUCCACGCGGGGCCCUGGGAGGCCUUGGAGCCAGUGUGACCGCAGCAGCAGCCCACAUGCCCCGCCCUCAGACUGUGGUCCCCGAAGCCGCUAUCCAACAGAAGGAUCCAGGCUUCUUGUGAAAAGAGCUUAUUCCUAGGCCGAGGCGAGGAGCGAGGAGCACGGCGUUGUGGCAGAAGGUAAGGAAGAGCUCCAAAGCCUAAAUGGGGGCCAUGGCAGGGGGCACAGGUGCGCCCAAGAGUGCUCCUGGGGACCCAGAGUGGAACCGUCUGACUAACAAGCUAGCACUGGAUUCUGACCCCCAAGUCUGCACUUUCGUAAGCAACUGAACAAGUGGAGAGACGUGUGCAAGAGGCAGAGGUCUGCGUGGAGGAUCCCGAAGAAUGUAUUACAGGGUUUUGUGCCCCUUAGUGCCUGCCGUUCUUGGUCACACGGGUUCGAAGACUGCGGAGGUAGACCAGAGGGAGGGCGGUGGGCAGCAGAGCAAAGUUGACGGAGUGAGAGUGUAAAGCUCCUGGAGAGGGAAGGCGCUGGCGUGGGCAGUUCCCAGAGUUUCUAAGUUGAGGAGUUUUUACGAGCCCUUCUGCGGAACUAUCUUAAACAGGGUGUGCCCAGUUGUGCCGAACGGGGCUUUGGUCACGUAUCUGUCUACCUAUUAGGUUCAUGUCUACAUGCUGAUGGUCUUUUUUCUUUUUUGCUGACGUCAAUGGGCUUGGGUCUUAACUGCCGCUUGCCUGUGAUAUUGACAGCUGCUUUUGUGGUUCAUUGUCUUACUUUAGGGCGUUUUACAGAAGUCAUUUCUGCAAAGGCUGCAAAACAGAAUGUCCGUGCGGUCCCCGUCCAAGUUGCAGAACAGGACGUUAGUGCUGUUUGAUCUUAGCCGUCCUGACUCUGUAUUUCCUUGUUAGGGACCUUGGCCUGACUCCCUGACUGUCCAACUCACUCCUCACAAAUUCGUCUAAGACCCGCUUAAGAAGUGGGGCCAUAACUACCCAUCCCCUCCGUCUGGGUACCGCUCUGGGACUUGUUUCCAGAGCGCAGUGUGCAGCCUGGGCGGAGGGGAACGCUGCACACAAGUGGGGGGCCAAGGUUCCCAUCGCCAGCGACAGUCCCCGGAGAGCCCAGGCCCAGACAGGAUGUGAUGAGGAGACCUUCAUCGUGUUGGUGAGCCCCCUCCCCAAGCCCAUCAUCCCGAGCGCAUCACCCUGAUCCAAGAACGAACCAAAUAUCGAGGACUUCCACCGAGGACCUACCAGCACUCCUCAAAAUGGUCAAGGGAAAUCGGGGACGCUCAGCCAAGAGGAUACCUGACAACUCCAUGUAAUGUGUCCUGGUUGAGAUCCUGGAACAGAAAACAGGCACUUGGUGAAACCAGUGAUUACGUGAGCAGCACACGGCACGCGUUCCGCUGGUAACGCACCGGUCCGGGCCCAGCACUGCGGCGAAUGACCGCGGCAGCGCGACACCAGAAACUGGGUGCCGGGCACACGGCAACUGUACUAUCUUGGCAACU